rnacentral:lncRNA from 1 species
CCCUCAAAGUUAUGGAGUAAGACAUCGAUUUCUCAACAAGAUCAAUUUUUCUGAUUGUAUGCGAUGAACUCCCUUGAAAAACAUUGGCGCGCGUAAGCGAGUUGCUCUACCAACUGAGCUAUAGCCCUUAGUGCUUGUGAUACAUAUUUUAUCAUGUAGAUAAAUUCUUGUCAAGAUAAAUAUUCCAUGAUCCAACNNNN